CCUACGGGUGGCUGCAGUGAGGAAUCUUCCGCAAUGGGCGAAAGCCUGACGGAGCAAUGCCGCGUGCAGGAUGAAGCGGCUACGCCGUGUAAACUGCUGUCAGGGGGUAGAAACACUGAUCACCCCCAAAGGAAGAGCCGGCUAACCCUGUGCCAGCAGCCGCGGUAAGACAGGGGGCUCGAGCGUUAAUCGGAAUCAUUGGGCUUAAAGGGUGCGUAGGCGGGUCGCUAAGUGUUCUGUGAAAUCCCUCGGCUCAACCGGGGAAUCGCAGGGCAUACUGGCGGCCUUGAGGCAUGUAGGGGCGGACGGAACUGUAGGUGGAGCGGUGAAAUGCGUAGAUAUCUACAGGAACGCCGAUGGUGAAGACGGUCCGCUGGGCAUGUCCUGACGCUGAGGCACGAAAGCGUGGGGAGCAAACAGGCUUAGAUACCCUUGUAGUC
rnacentral:rRNA from 1 species